UGGGUGAUCGUCCAACGGCAGGACUACGGACUCUGACUCCGUCAAUUAAGGUUCAAAUCCUUAUCACCCAGCCA
rnacentral:tRNA from 3 species